UACGUAGGGGGCAAGCGUUGUCCGGAAUCAUUGGGCGUAAAGCGCGUGUAGGCGGCCCGAUAAGUCCGCUGUGAAAGUCCAGGGCUCAACCCUGGGAUGCCGGUGGAUACUGUCGGGCUCGAGUCCGGAAGAGGCGAGUGGAAUUCCUGGUGUAGCGGUGAAAUGCGUAGAUAUCAGGAGGAACACCGAUGGCGAAGGCAGGUCUCUGGGCUGACACUGACGCUCAUGCACGAAAGCGUGGGGAGCAAACAGG
rnacentral:rRNA from 1 species